UGGGGAAUUUUGGACAAUGGGCGCAAGCCUGAUCCAGCCAUGCCGCGUGCGGGAAGAAGGCCUUCGGGUUGUAAACCGCUUUUGUCAGGGAAGAAACAGUUCGUAUUAAUACUAUGGACUAAUGACGGUACCUGAAGAAUAAGCACCGGCUAACUACGUGCCAGCAGCCGCGGUAAUACGUAGGGUGCAAGCGUUAAUCGGAAUUACUGGGCGUAAAGCGUGCGCAGGCGGCUUUGCAAGACAGAUGUGAAAUCCCCGGGCUCAACCUGGGAACUGCAUUUGUGACUGCAUCGCUAGAGUGCGGCAGAGGGGGAUGGAAUUCCGCGUGUAGCAGUGAAAUGCGUAGAUAUGCGGAGGAACACCGAUGGCGAAGGCAAUCCCCUGGGCCUGCACUGACGCUCAUGCACGAAAGCGUGGGGAGCAAACAGG
rnacentral:rRNA from 1 species